AUUGAACGCUGGCGGCAGGCUUAACACAUGCAAGUCGAGCGAGCGGCGGACGGGUGAGUAAUGUCUGGGACACUGUCUGAUGGAGGGGGAUAACUACUGGAAACGGUAGCUAAUACCGCAUACUAUCGGAUGUGCCCAGAUGGGAUUCGCUAGUAGGUGGGGUAAAGGCACACCUAGGCGACGAUCCCUAGCUGGUCUGAGAGGAUGACCAGCCACACUGGAACUGAGACACGGUCCAGACUCCUACGGGAGGCAGCAGUGGGGAAUAUUGCACAAUGGGCGCAAGCCUGAUGCAGCCAUGCCGCGGGUAUGAAGAAGGCCUUCGGGUUGUAAAGUACUUUCAGCGGGGAGGCGUUACCCGCAGAAGAAGCACCGGCUAACUCCGUGCCAGCAGCCGCGGUAAUUC
rnacentral:rRNA from 1 species